UUUUAUUCCAUUUGGACUUUUUGUGUUUAGUUCAGUUUAGUUUCCAGAUGAUUUUCUUCUUUUUCAGGUUUGAUUAUUUAUUGCUUGAAGAGUUUUUAAUGGUUUUAUUCUUUUUUCAUUCUUACUGUUUGGAGGUUUGUGUCAGAGGCCAGAUUUAGGAGCAUCAGUACAGCUGUUACAAUAAAAGCAGUGACUCAGUCUGACAGACAUCCAGAGUCUCAAUGAACUCGUCCAUCAACAACAUUUGAUCAAACUAACAGAUUCUAAAACUAAAGAUUUGUUUUUAUUUGUUCACAAAAUGGUUUCAGAUGAUGUUUUUCAUCCAUCUCAGUCUUUCUCAUGAACUUUGUCUCCAAACCUCUCAGCCUGAGCUUCCCUCUGAUCAACUCGUUCAUAAUCUCGUCCUUUCUGCUCUCAAUGAAAAUCUGAACAUGUUCAGCUCGGCCUCCUGUCUUUGUGUCAGAGUCUCCAAAGCAAACAUCACAGCAGCUCACUGCCAUCUUUAAACCUUCCCUUUCACUCUUGCUGCUGUCCUUCUGUCACAAAUCAGCCCUGAUGAAGAUGCUCGGGAUCAGACCAGAAAAACAUCACAGCUGAGUCUGGACAGGACGUCACUCUGACAUGUCGAGCUCCAAACAACAACUUCAUCAGUUUAGAGUGGAGCAGAGCUGACCUGGGAAAUGAAUAUGUGCUUUUGUACCGGGAUGGUCACUUUGUUUCAGACGAGCAGCAUCCAUCUUUUAGGAACCGGGUGGAUCUGCAGGACAGACAGAUGAAGGAUGGAGACGUGUCUUUGAUUCUGAAGGAUGUGACGAUUCAUGAUGCUGGAAGAUACGAGUGUGGUGUUGUCCAGAAAGAACCAAACCAAGAGAUACCCAGUUUGAAGCUCAUCAACACCACCUACCUUCAUGUUUAUCCUCCAGGUCAGACAGGAGGACAAGAGAAGGAUGAAGACAAGAAAGAUGGAGGAAAGGAAGACAAAAAGAAGGAGGAUGGAUCUGUUGGACUGAUUGCUGGUCUGUCAGUUCCUGCUGUGGUUGUUGUUGUUUUUGGUGGUGGUGGUUUUUUGAUCUACAAACGUAGACAACAGCAGAGUGAGGAAACAAACCAGCCUCCUGUUGAAGUGCAGCAGGUUUAAAAUGUCUCUGAGUUUUUUCCAGCAUUGAUUCUGCUGCUGCUGUUCAGAGUUCUGGGUGUUGUCAGUGUUUAAAAUCCUGCAGAAACAGAUGAACUGAGCACAGACAGCAGGCCCACAGUGCUGUAGGUUUAUUUCAUUUUUAUCUUUAAUGGCUGCUUCUGUUUUUGCUGACAGCUCAUCUCAGUGGACGAGUUUCAUCUUUAAAAACAGUCUUUACAUUUCAGCUCUUUAGUUCACUGGAACAUCCAGAGGGCUGUGACUACAAAUCAGCUUCAACACAGUCAGGCUUUCUUUGUGUUAGCUGGCUCAGCUAAACCUGAAACUGCAGUCAGAGACAGCAGGUAUCACCAUGGUGAUUAUCAACCUUCUCUGUUACCCUGCCUCUCUGCUUCAGGCUCUGAGCACGCUCAGAUGAAAAGGAGCGUUUCUUGAAUCAUGUGACUUUUCUUCUACACAAAAUGAUCCCUGUGAGCGCCACCCAGUCCAAUCAGAGACGUUACUCAUUGAUAACUUCACUAAUGUCUCCACUAAAUGAAUACAGGUACAUUGUGACAGUGUGAUGUGCAGUUUAGGUUCAUUCGGUGUUUUCAGUAAGUUACAGUUUAACAAGCUGCACAUAUGAAACAUUUCCUCCAGCAGAGAAUCUGCAUCACAGUGAAAACGUGGCUCUAACACCUGAUUUAAAAACAAAACUCUGAUGAAAGUGAUGUUUCACCAUCAGUUACCAUGGUGAUUUAGCCUCUUUCUGACACAGAAAGCCCUGACUUUGUGUUUGACACAGCUGAGACAUUACUCUGGUUUUGUUGUGCUCUGAGGUUCAGAUUUUCAGAGUUAGAAAAUCUCAAAGUAAAACACUUUAAAGAAUGAAACUCUACAGCUGCUGUCAGCAAAAACUUAACUUUUCAAACAAAUGAACAUUUUUCACUUUGAUGGUUUUGUUUCCACUGACUGUUGUUACAUCAUUUUAAACUCAGAUUACAUAUUUAUGAAAUAUUUUCACACCUGAAUGUUUCAAUCAAGAUCUGAUUUCAGUUUCUCUUUAUCUUUGUGAGCUGUGUGGUUUGUUUACCCUCAGUAUCCAUGAACAGUGUUACAGACCUGGAAUCAGUGUUUUUGUUUAUAAGAUCAAAUAUGACCUCAUUAUGUGAGUGCGAGCUUUGGACCACAAAACCUCAACAACACUAAUCCUCAAUCAGCUGUUUCACUAAAAUUACAUCCAAGUAUAAACUGAUCCCAUCGUUCAUGCAUCACUUUGUAGCUGACAGAUGGUUAUGCACAUUCCUGGUUGCCUAGGUAACCCUCUAACAUAUUUACUGCCGGUACAUUCGUCUCUCAGCAGUACGAUUUACUCUUUACUGUUUAAGUUUCGUUAACCUUUCAUGACCUCUGACCCCUGCUGGUCUCUUCCUGUGUGAACACUUUUCACUGGAACUGAAAAUCUGAGUUUCUGUGAAGUUCUGUAGAUUACAGAUAAUCACAGUCUGACUCAGGAUCCAGUGAUCAGGGACGACUGAACGGCCUCUAACUGCAAAGUAUUAGUAGUUUAUUUUAUUGUUUGCUAAAAUAGUUGCACAUGUAUCAGUAUUAUAGGCUUUAAUUCAUUUGUUUUGUGUGUCUGACCUUGUAAAUAUGUGUGUGCUCUGAUUGGUUGGAUCCUGGUCAAACUUCACUGGUGCUCCCACAGCAACAACACAACUUGAAGACUCAGAGUUCACACACAGUGUCUGUAAGCUUCUCUUUGACUUAUAUUGUCUGUUUGUUUUAUUUGAGUUUAUUUAGAAUGUGACUGCAAGCAGACUUAACACUGAUGUUUUUUUUAAAUCACAAACUAACUAAAACCUGUGUGUCUCUACAGACAAUAACAGGUGUUUGCAAAGACCUGCUGAAAUGUGUCUGUAUGUUUGAGAUGUGAACUUAUAUAUGUGGAAUAAAUUUGGAGUAACAA